rnacentral:rRNA from 1 species
UGAGUCGAACGGUGAAGCCCUUCGGGGUGGAUCAGUGGCGAACGGGUGAGUAACACGUGGGUAACCUGCCCUGAACUCUGGGAUAACUCCGGGAAACCGGGGCUAAUACCGGAUACGAGCCCGGUCCGCAUGGACCGGGUUGGAAAGUCUUUUCGGUUCAGGAUGGACCCGCGGCCUAUCAGCUUGUUGGUGGGGUAACGGCCUACCAAGGCUUUGACGGGUAGCCGGCCUGAGAGGGCGACCGGCCACACUGGGACUGAGACACGGCCCAGACUCCUACGGGAGGCAGCAGUGGGGAAUAUUGCACAAUGGGCGAAAGCCUGAUGCAGCGACGCCGCGUGAGGGAUGACGGCCUUCGGGUUGUAAACCUCUUUCAGCAGGGACGAAGCGCAAGUGACUGUACCUGCAGAAGAAGCAACGGCUAACUACGUGCCAGCAGCCGCGGUAAUACGUAGGGUGCGAGCGUUGUCCGGAUUUAUUGGGCGUAAAGAGCUUGUAGGCGGCUCGUCACGUCGGGUGUGAAAACCCGCGGCUCAACCGCGGGCCUGCACCCGAUACGGGCGGGCUAGAGUUCGGCAGGGGAGACUGGAAUUCCUGGUGUAGCGGUGGAAUGCGCAGAUAUCAGGAGGAACACCGGUGGCGAAGCGGGUCUCUGGGCCGAUACUGACGCUGAAAGCGAAAGCGUGGGGAGCGAACAGGAUUAAUACCCUGGUAGUCCACGCCGUAAACGUUGGGACUAGUGUGGGGUCCAUUCCACGGGCUCUGUGCCGCAGCUAACGCAUUAAUUCCCCGCCUGGGGAGUACCCGCAGGCUAAAACUCAAAGGAAUUGAGGGGGCCCCACG